rnacentral:rRNA from 1 species
CCUACGGGGUGCUGCAGUGGGGAAUAUUGCACAAUGGGGGAAACCCUGAUGCAGCGACGCCGCGUGAGUGAAGAAGCGCCUCGGCGCGUAAAGCUCUGUCAGCAGGAACGACGAUGACGGUACCUGAAGAAGAAGCCCCGGCUAACUACGUGCCAGCAGCCGCGGUAAGACGUAGGGGGCAAGCGUUACUCGGAAUCACUGGGCGUAAAGAGCGCGUAGGCGGGAUAGCAAGUCAGAUGUGAAAUCCUAGGGCUUAACCAUAGAACUGCAUUUGAAACUGUUAUUCUAGAGUAUGGGAGAGGUAGGUGGAAGUCUUGGUGGAGGGGUAAAAUGCGUAGAGAUCAAGAGGAAUACUCAUUGCGAAGGCGACCUGCUAGAACAUAACUGACGCUGAGGCGCGAAAGCGUGGGGAGCAAACAGGAUUAGAUACCCUUGUAGUC